ensembl:lncRNA
CCUUAAUCGCUUGUGCAGUGCUUAGUCUUAUGAGUCUGAGCAGUCUGAAAGCAUUUGUACCCAUUAGGAAAUGGUACAUCAUCAGCAUCCAAUCUUCUUCUGUGGCCAUUUAAUGGACACAUGUAGUGCUGAAUACCUAAGCAGCAGACCCUAAGAAAAGGAGGCAGUCCAUCUGCAACUCCCUCGUCUUGGAUGUUAUUUCUCAUGGGUGUUGGCUAUGGUUCCCAGGCUAUACAGUAGGUUGUUGUUGUUGUCAUUGUUCAGUUGCUGAGUUGUGUUGGACUCUGCCACUGCACGGACUGUAGCCUGCCAGGCUCCUCUGUCCAUGGGAUUUUCCAGAGCCUAAGGAUGACACAGGAAAUGAUUGCAAGCCACUGAGGCUGGAGGAGGGGAUGACCGCUGGUGACCGUGCCUCAUGACUCACCCGAACUAGACAUCGGCUCUCCCGAGGGUGGCUGGAUGGUCCCUCAUACACCCUCCUCAGGUGCAGCCAUUCCCAGGCACUGUGAGUCAUUAUCAUGAGAUGCCUGCCUCUGCUCCCGCCCCGGCCCCGUGCCAAAUCAAACACACAGGCUACAGCACCCUGAGCCUUGUUUACCUUGAAAACUUGGCUCAGCCCCUGAAGUCCAUGCAUUAUCGAUGUGCAGGCUAUACAUGGGCAGCAUGGGCAGCAGGCUGGGUCCCACUUUCCUACUCAUCUACCCCACUGUCCCUCUUUGUUCCCAGCACUGAGCAGCGUCUGACAGUGCCGGGUGAUCCACCUUUGUGCAAUCCUCCUAACAUUCUUUUUUAAAAGGAAGGAUAUUCUUUUUCUUCUUCUUUUUUAAAAUGAAAGUAUUAGUCACUCAGUCAUGUCUGACUCUUUG